rnacentral:rRNA from 1 species
UACUAGAGUAGCACUCGCAUAUCAAUAAGCGGAGGAAAAGAAACUAACAAGGAUUCCCCUAGUAACGGCGAGUGAAGCGGGAAGAGCUCAAAUUUGAAAUCUUAAAGGGUUUCCCUUUACGAAUUGUAGUUUAAAGAAGUGUUUUCUGUUGAGGUUUUGGUAAAAGUUCUUUGGAAUAGGACAUCAUAGAGGGUGAGAAUCCCGUAUUUGACCUCUACUUUCAACUUUGUGAUACACUUUCAAAGAGUCGGAUUGUUUGGGAAUGCAGUCCAAAAUGGGUGGUAAAUUUCAUCUAAAGCUAAAUAUUGGCGAGAGACCGAUAGCGAACAAGUACCGUGAGGGAAAGAUGAAAAGAACUUUGAAAAGAGAGUUAAACAGUACGUGAAAUUGUCAAAAGGGAAGCGUUUGACACCAGUGUUGUUUUUCUGAAAAUCAAUUAAAGAACUGUUUAUGCUAAGCUGUUUAGACUUUAUCAGCUAAUCUGUUUAGUUUUGAGCUUUUCUUUAAUGCACUUUUCAGUUAACAAGUCAACAUCAAUUUCUUUUGCUGUAAAAAAGCUUGAGGAAGGUGGCUUGAGAUCUCGUCUUAAGUGUUUAUAGCCUCUUGCCUAUGCAGUCGGAGAGAUUGAGGUCUGCAGCGUAGAUCCUUCGGGGCUAAAUGCAUUUGUGCUAAGUUAUAGCAUUUUAUAGACAACUUGUUGACUAUGAUUUGUCUUGUAGCUUACUCGCUUAUGUUAUUUUACCUACGCUUAGGAUGUUGAGCGCAUGUCUCUCUCU